rnacentral:rRNA from 1 species
GUUUGAUCCUGGCUCAGAACGAACGCUGGCGGCGUGGCUAAAGCAUGCAAGUCGCACGAUUAAGACCCCCUUCGGGGGGUGUAUAAAGUGGCGAAAGGGCGAGUAAUGUAUGGGUAACGUACCCCUCGCACAGGGAUAGCUGCGGGAAACUGCAGGUAAUACCUGAUGAGACCACAGUGUCAUAUGGCACAGCGGUCAAAGGGUGGGGAUCCUUCGGGACCUACUGGCGAGUGAGCGGCCCAUGCCCUAUCAGCUUGUUGGUGAGGUAACGGCUCACCAAGGCAUCGACGGGUACCGGGACUGAGAGGUUGACCCGGCGCAUUGGGACUGAGACACUGCCCAGACUCCUACGGGAGGCUGCAGCACCGAAUAUUCCGCAAUGGGCGCAAGCCUGACGGAGCGACGCCGCGUGUGGGAUGAAGCCCUUCGGGGUGUAAACCACUGUCAGGGGUUAGCAAGCAAUGGAGGCCAAUACCCUCCGGCGUUGAGCAGCCCCAGAGGAAGCCACGGCUAACUUCGUGCCAGCAGCCGCGGUAAGACGAAGGUGGCAAGCGUUGUUCGGAAUCACUGGGCUUAAAGAGCACGUAGGCGGUCCGUCAAGCAUCUUGUGAAAUCCCUCGGCUCAACCGAGGAAUGGCUGGGUGAACUGGCGGACUUGAGGCAGGUAGGGGCACGUGGAACUCUUGGUGGAGCGGUGGAAUGCGUAGAUAUCAAGAGGAACGCCGGUGGCGAAAGCGGCGUGCUGGGCCUGUCCUGACGCUGAGGUGCGAAAGCCAGGGAGCGAACGGGAUUAGAUACCCCGGUAGUCCUGGCCCUAAACGAUGUCCACUAGGUCGGAGGCUCUCUGACGAUUUUCCGGCCGAAACAAAAGCGUUAAGUGGACCGCCUGGGGAGUACGGUCGCAAGGCUAAAACUCAAAGGAAUUGACGGGGGCUCACACAAGCGGUGGAGCAUGUUGCUUAAUUCGAUUCAACGCGAAGAACCUUAUCCUGGGCUUGACAUACUUGGAUACCCAUCUGGAAACAGAGUAGGUUGCUCUUCGGAGUGAAACUUGUACAGGUGCUGCAUGGCUGUCGUCAGCUCGUGUCGUGAGAUGUUGGGUUAAGUCCCGUAACGAGCGAAACCCUUGUCGCUAGUUGCCAGCGCGUAAUGGCGGGGACUCUAGCGAGACUGCCGGUGUUAAACCGGAGGAAGGUGGGGAUGACGUCAAGUCCUCAUGGCCUUUAUGCCCAGGGCUGCAAACGUGCUACAAUGGUCGAAACAAACCGAAGCGAAGCCGCGAGGUGGAGCAAAUCGGACAAAGUCGGCCUCAGUUCGGAUUGGAGUCUGCAACUCGACUCCAUGAAGUCGGAAUCGCUAGUAAUCGUGUAUCAGCGCGACACGGUGAAUGUGUUCCUGAGCCUUGUACACACCGCCCGUCAAGUCAUGGAAGCUGGUAGCGCCCGAAGUCGGCAUAUGUCAGUGCUGCCGAAGGUGAGAUCGGUGACUGGGACUAAGUCGUAUCAAGGUA